UAGUUGGUGAGGUAACGGCUCACCCGACGAUGCGUAGCCGACUGAGAGGGUGAUCGGCCACACUGGGGAGCAACGCCGCGUGAGUGAUGAAGGUUUUCGGAUCGUAAAGCUCUGUUGUUAGGGAAGAACAAGGUUCAAAUAGGGCGGCACCUUGACGGUACCUACCAGAAAGCCACGGCUAACUACGUGCCAGCAGCCGCGGUAAUACGUAGGUGGCAAGCGUUGUCCGGAAUUAUUGGGCGUAAAGGGCUCGCAGGCGGUUUCUUAAGUCUGAUGUGAAAGCCCCCGGCUCAACCGGGGAGGGUCAUUGGAAACUGGGGAACUUGAGUGCAGAAGAGGAGAGUGGAAUUCCACGUGUAGCGGUGAAAUGCGUAGAGAUGUGGAGGAACACCAGUGGCGAAGGCGACUCUCUGGUCUGUAACUGACGCUGAGGAGCGAAAGCGUGGGGAGCGAACAGGAUUAGAUACCCUGGUAGUCCACGCCGUAAACGAUGAGUGCUAAGUGUUAGGGGGUUUCCGCCCCUUAGUGCUGCAGCUAACGCAUUAAGCACUCCGCCUGGGGAGUACGGUCGCAAGACUGAAACUCAAAGGAAUUGACGGGGGCCCGCACAAGCGGUGGAGCAUGUGGUUUAAUUCGAAGCAACGCGAAGAACCUUACCAGGUCUUGACAUCCUCUGACAAUCCUAGAGAUAGGACGUCCCCUUCGGGGGCAGAGUGACAGGUGGUGCAUGGUUGUCGUCAGCUCGUGUCGUGAGAUGUUAAGUCCCGCAACGAGCGCAACCCUUGAUCUUAGUUGCCAGCAUUCAGUUGGGCACUCUAAGGUGACUGCCGGUGACAAACCGGAGGAAGGUGGGGAUGACGUCAAAUCAUCAUGCCCCUUAUGACCUGGGCUACACACGUGCUACAAUGGACAGAACAAAGGGCAGCGAAACCGCGAGGUUAAGCCAAUCCCACAAAUCUGUUCUCAGUUCGGAUCGCAGUCUGCAACUCGACUGCGUGAAGCUGGAAUCGCUAGUAAUCGCGGAUCAKCAUGCCGCGGUGAAUACGUUCCCGGGCCUUGUACACACCCGCCCGUCA
rnacentral:rRNA from 1 species